UUCCAAGAUAUGGCCUGCCUAAGGUAAUAGGGUCCGAUAAUGGACGGGCGUUCAUGGCCCAGGUAAGUCAGGGGUUAGCCAGGACCCUGGGGAUUAAUUGAAAGUUACAUUGCGCUUAUAGACCCCAGAGCUCAGGACAGAUAAAAAAAAUAAAUAAAACCAUUAAAGAGACCUUGACAAAAUUAAGCUUAGAGACCGGCAUAAAAAAUUUGACUAUGCUCCUGCCUUAUACAUUGUUUCGUGCAAAAAAUACUCCCUCUGUUUCUUUGUGUAACCUAACCCUCUAUGAUUCUCUAUGAUGUCCCUCCUCCAAUAAGGGACCUGACCCUAACUCUAAGACCUAACAAUUCCUUUCACACCCUCUUGCUUGACAGACUUAAAGCUUUUAAAAAAACUCAGUGAUACCCGUGGAAACAGCUAACCACUGCCUACCAACCUGGGGACGAAGGGACUCCACACCGAUAUCAAGUGGGAAACUUCAUCUAUGUAAGACGACAUCAGGUGUCAUCCCUAGAACCCUGCUGGAAAAGACCAUACCAGGUGCUACUUAUAACACCUACAGCAGUAAAGACUAUCAAAGCCACAAACAGUCAUGGCUGUGUGGGGGAAAAUCCGACUUCUUCUGUAAGUCAUAAGGAUGUAAACAUACAGGGGCUACCUGAUGGAACCCAAACCUCCGCCAGUUCUCAGACCAUUGCCCCCUUGCUGAAGUAACAGGUACUGAGGUAUCUCUCCACCCAUUCACUCCUCUCCUCUCAGUGCCCACACCAGGACCCACCAGAACUAUCCAAAAUAUAAUAAAAAUGGCCUUUAAAGUUACUUUAUCAUUACUAAAAACAGGUUACUAAAAAUUUAAAGUCCCUCACAGGCUUUUUGGGAUACUCACUCCAGUCUUCCCCUCUGCUCUACCUGUUCUACUACUCAAGUUUUUAUUGCUA